rnacentral:lncRNA from 1 species
CCUGGACAAGUCCCAGGCCCUGUCCUUGAGGUCCUGUGGAGGCUGGCCAGCCUAGUAUGUAUUGCCUAUCGGGCUCCCUCAGUGGCCUAGGCUUAGUGUGUCCUAUCUCCCUGAUCCCUGUUGUCAGGGGCAUUAGUGAUGAAUUGCCCUUUGUUUGUGGCUCCUUCAGAAACGGCUUGUGUUAGGAAAUGGAAAUUGAGGCCUUAUCUCUUAGAGAAGACCACGCAGCUGCUAUGGCGUCUGCUCCAUCCUCUCAAACAUCAGGUGAAGAGCGAAGCAAUGCAGUAAUGCCAUGCUUCUCAAAGAGGCUGGAGUGUAAUUGGGAAGGCAAAGCAUUGUAUCUCAGACUGUUACUCAGACUACUAUAUAGUCACCAAUGAUCAGGAUAUAGUUGAGAGGCUGGAGUAGGAGGAAGGGCAUGAGUUCUGAAGGGUGACUCGGAAGUGGAAGUUUAAGGACAAGGGCUAGAAUGUGUCAGACAGAAGUACCUGGACCUGCAAAUGCCAUGGAGACCAAGGCUUCCCAACAGGACCAGAGGCAAGUUAAAAAGCUGCACUGCAGACUACAAAAGAUAAAGUUAACAAGAUGGCAGUGGUUUAAGAAACCUUAUAUCUCCUAUACACUGAGAAAAAAGCAUGAAGCAUCGUACAUGUAAAUCUCUUGUCUUCAGCAUUGGCUCAGUCAACAAAACCAGCAGCUUCUGG